UGUAAAUGUCCGUGGAUAUAUUAUUUGCCUGAUUCCGAGUCCGUAUGAGAAAGUUACGCCUGAUUUAAGAAAUGGCACCCAAAUG
rnacentral:rRNA from 1 species